UACGUAGGGUGCAAGCGUUAAUCGGAAUUACUGGGCGUAAAGCGUGCGCAGGCGGUUUUGUAAGUCUGACGUGAAAUCCCCGGGCUCAACCUGGGAAUUGCGUUGGAGACUGCAAGGCUAGAAUCUGGCAGAGGGGGGUAGAAUUCCACGUGUAGCAGUGAAAUGCGUAGAGAUGUGGAGGAACACCGAUGGCGAAGGCAGCCCCCUGGGUCAAGAUUGACGCUCAUGCACGAAAGCAUGGGGAGCAAACAGG
rnacentral:rRNA from 1 species